UACAGAGGUCUCAAGCGUUUGUUCGGAUUCAUUGGGCGUAAAGGGUGUGUAGGUGGCGCGCUAAGUCGGGUGUGAAAUUUCGGAGCUUAACUCCGAAACUGCAUUCGAUACUGGCGUGCUUGAGGACUGGAGAGGAGACUGGAAUUCAUGGUGUAGCAGUGAAAUGCGUAGAGAUCAUGAGGAAGACCAGUGGCGAAGGCGGGUCUCUGGACAGUUCCUGACACUGGAGACACGAAGGCUAGGGGAGCAAACGGG
rnacentral:rRNA from 1 species